CUGAAUAACUGAGCGGAUCGCACUGGUCUUAGUACCGGCGACAUAUCCUUCAAGUGUCUGCCUUAUCAACUUUCGAUGGUAGUUUAUAUGCCUACCAUGGUUGUAACGGGUAACGGAAAAUCAGGGUUUGAUUCCGGAGAGGGCGCCUGAGAAAUGGCGACCACUUCUAAGGAAGGCAGCAGGCGUGUAACUUACCCACUCUCAGAUCGAGGAGGUAGUGACGAAAAAUAUCGAGCUGGCGGUUUCAUACUGCCAGCAUCGGAAUGAGAACAAUGUAAACGUGUUAUCGAGUAACUAGCAGAGGGCAAGUCUGGUGCCAGCAGCCGCGGUAAUUCCAGCUCUGCAAGUGUAUGUCAAUGUUGCUGCGGUUAAAAAG
rnacentral:rRNA from 1 species